rnacentral:ribozyme from 12 species
AAUUGUGUGCCCAUUUUUAAGCUUUCUUUUUUCCUUUCUCUCCCGUUGCUUCAUUUCCGUUUUCGAAAAAGUGGAAGCACAGGCUGCUUGUUUCCGUUUGUAGAAAAGGAUAUA